GAUGAAGAACGUAGCGAAAUGCGAUACGUAAUGUGAAUUGCAGAAUUCAGUGAAUCAUCGAAUCUUUGAACGCAUAUUGCGCUCUCUGGUAUUCCGGAGAGCAUGCUUGUUUGAGUAUCAGUAAACACCUCAACUCCCUUUUCUUUUUUGAAAUUGGAGCUGGACUUGAGUGAUCCCAACGCUUUCUUCCAAGAAAGUGGCGGGUUGCUUGAAAUGCAGGUGCAGCUGAACUUUUCUCUGAGCUAUAAGCAUAUCUAUUUAGUCUGCCUAAAAAACAGAUUAUUACCUUUGCUGCAGCUAACAUAAAGGAGAUUAGUUCUUGUGCUGACUGAUGCAGGAUUCACAAAGACAGGCUUCGGCCGACUUUGUAAACUCGAUCUCAAAUCAAGUAAGACUACCCGCUGAACUUAAGCAUAUCAAUAAGCGGAGGA
rnacentral:misc_RNA from 1 species